rnacentral:rRNA from 1 species
UGGGGAAUAUUGGACAAUGGGCGCAAGCCUGAUCCAGCAAUGCCGCGUGUGUGAAGAAGGCCUUCGGGUUGUAAAGCACUUUAAGCAGGGAAGAAAAAACCUCGGUCUAACACAUCGAGUCUUGACGGUACCUGAAGAAUAAGCACCGGCUAACUCUGUGCCAGCGGCCGCGGUAAUACAGAGGGUGCUAGCGUUAAUCGGAUUUACGGGCGUAAAGCGUGUGUAGGUGGUUGUUCAAGUCAGUUGUGAAAAUCCCCUGGGGCUUAAACCCUGGGGAACUGCUUUCUGAGACUGAACGACUAGAGUACGGUAGAGGGUGGUGGAAUUUCCGGUGUAGCGGUGAAAUGCGUAGAUAUCGGAAGGAACAUCAAUGGCGAAGGCAGCCACCUGGGCCUGUACUGACACUGAGACACGAAAGCGUGGGGAUCAAACAGGAUUAGAUACCCUGGUAGUCCACGCCGUAAACGAUGAGAACUUGACGUCGGUUUGCUCUGCAAAGUCGGUGUCGUAGCUAACGCGAUAAGUUCUCCGCCUGGGGAGUACGGCCGCAAGGUUGAAAGCUUAAAUGAAUUGACGGGGGUCAUAGCUGUUUCCUG